rnacentral:rRNA from 1 species
AACGAACGCUGGCGGCGCGCCUAAUACAUGCAAGUCGAGCGAGAAGACGUAGCAAUACGUUUGUAAAGCGGCGAACGGGUGAGGAAUACAUGGGUAACCUACCCUCGAGUGGGGAAUAACUAGCCGAAAGGUUAGCUAAUACCGCAUACGCUUCCCGGACUGCGGUUCGGGAAAGAAAGCGAUACCGUGGGUAUCGCGCUCUUGGAUGGGCUCAUGUCCUAUCAGCUUGUUGGUGAGGUAAUGGCUCACCAAGGCGACGACGGGUAGCCGGCCUGAGAGGGCGACCGGCCACACUGGGACUGAGACACGGCCCAGACUCCUACGGGAGGCAGCAGUGGGGAAUAUUGCACAAUGGGCGAAAGCCUGAUGCAGCGACGCCGCGUGAGGGAUGACGGCCUGGU